GCAGCCGUAGCCUACUGGUUAGGGCUUCGGGCUUGUAAACAAAGGGUUGCCGGUUCGAUCCCCGACCCAGUGGGA
rnacentral:tRNA from 1 species